rnacentral:rRNA from 1 species
GACGAACGCUGGCGGCGUGCUUAAUACAUGCAAGUAGAACGCAGUUGCGAACGGGGGAGUAACGCGUAGGUAACUGCCCCAUAGGGGGGGAUAACUUUUGGAAACGAUAGGUAAUACCGCAUACUGUGAGAUGGACCGGCGUUGUUUUAGCUAGUUGGUGAGGUAAAGGCCCACCAAGGCGACGAUACAUAGCCGACCUGAGAAGGUGAACGGCCACACUUGGACUGGGACACGGCCCAGACUCCUACGGGGGGCAGCAGUAGGGAAUCUUCGGAAAUGGACGGAAGUCUGGCCCAGCAACUCCGCGUGAGUGGAGAAGGGUUUCGGGUCGGAAAGCUAUGUUGUUAGGGAAGCGGUAUCUAACCAAAAAGGGACGGCUAACUACGUGCCAGCAGCCGCGGUAAUAC